rnacentral:rRNA from 1 species
AAAUCAACCGAGAUUCCCCCAGUAGCGGCGAGCGAACGGGGAGCAGCCCGGAGUCUGAAUCAGCUUGUGUGUUAGUGGAACGGUCUGGAAAGUCCGACGGUACAGGGUGAUAGUCCCGUACACGAAACACACUUGCUGUGAACUCGAAGAGUAGGGCGGGACACGUGGUAUCCUGUCUGAAUAUGGGGGGACCAUCCUCCAAGGCUAAAUACUCCUGACUGACCGAUAGUGAACCAGUACCGUGAGGGAAAGGC